rnacentral:rRNA from 1 species
GAUGAACGCUGGCGGCGUGCUUAAUACAUGCAAGUCGAACGGAGACAUUAGCAAUAAUGUUUUAGUGGCGAACGGGUGAGUAACGCGUUGGUGACCUGCCCCGAAGAGAGGGAUAACAGUUCGAAAGGAUUGCUAAUACCCCAUGUGGUUGUUUGGAUUAGAUGCCUUACAACUAAACGGAUUUAUUCGCUUCGGGAGGGGCCUGCGUCCCAUCAGCUAGUUGGUAGGGAAAUGGCCUACCAAGGCUAUGACGGGUAGGGGACCUGAGAGGGUGGCCCCCCACAAUGGAACUGAAACACGGUCCAUACACCUACGGGUGGCAGCAGUAGGGAAUAUUGGUUAAUCUGCGAAAGCGGGAACCAGCAACGCCGCGUGCACGAUGAAGGCCUUCGGGUUGUAAAGUGCUUUUUGAGAGGAUGAGGAAGGACAGUACUCUUAGAAUAAGCCUCGGCUAACUACGUGCCAGCCGCCGCUGUAAUAC